AAGUCUUACACUCUCCGAUUAAAGCGCGCGCUUUACAUCCACUAUAUUUAUAUUAUUUUGGCAAAAGUCCCGCGAAAGCUUUGCUCGAACUAAGUAUUAUAAUAAAAUAAUCCGCGAAUUAUACGGACUCGGAGAGCGUGACCGACAGGCGUCUCAAAAACCGAGACGCGCGCGGCUGUCAAUUUAGAAGUAUAAUUAUUAUUUAUCGCCUGUGUCAUUUACACGCAUAACUGCUCCAUAUCUCUGCGUUGCUUUACUCUUCGCAUUCGAACAAGUCGCGACAAUGCGCUCUGCGGCUCUAUAGUCAAAAUACCAAUAACUUACAAGUAUAACAGACAAUGCAUAUGUAUAAAACACGCAAAAAGCGAUCGAUCGGCUAUACCCUCGCUCUCGACUCAUCUGCAUUCCCCGGUCGUGUCGAGCAGCAUAGCUUGAUGCCGAAACUCGGCAAUCGCGCGCUGGCAAAGCUAGCCGUGUAGCAUCGAGAUAUCGUGCAGCUGUUGGCAUCGCUCGUGUAUAUAAUCAGAGAGAGAGAGAGAGAGAGAGAGAGAGAGAGAGACACGGGCUCGCGGCCGAGCUAGCGCGCAUUGUUCGCUUGAAAAAAUGUUUCGCUUUAUUAAUAGAAUGCAGCGCUUGCGAUCGGCGGCAAGUUCGAUCGGCGCUCAGUUGGCGCGAUCUUACGCACCUGCAACGACGAUGCGUCGUCUCGUCGUGUCUGCUCGACGUUGUUGCUACUCUGGGACGGCGGCGGCGUCGAUGAUGGUUCUACUCCUGCUGGGACUGAUCCCCCUCGCCGCCGCCGCCUUCGACUUGGACGCCUUCGUCGAGAAUGUGAACAUGAACCCCUGCGAGGAUUUCUACACGUACAUUUGCGAGAGCCAGUACAAGUACCCGGACGGAUCGGUAUCGAGAUUCAAGUCGCUCGUGGCCGAGGCGCAGGAUAACGUCGUUGCCAAGUUGAGAGCCAUCUUGGAAGAUGACGACACUCAGAAUCUCUACGCGGCCAAGGUUGCCAGGAUAUUCUACGCGUCGUGCAUGGACACAGAGGCGAUCGACGCGCAGGGCAUCAUACCGAUCCAGUCGGUCCUCAAGGAACUGCGAGGCUGGCCCUUGACGAGGCGAGCCCUGGACAACGAGAAACUGGCCAACUGGCAAGACCUUCACGCAUUUUACAGCAAAAUCAACGUCUUCCCGCUCUACGAGAUCGCCGUGAACAACGACGCGCUCAGACGUACCCACACGAUUCUGUUGCGACAGCCUAAGCCGGUGAUUCGCGAGCCUCUGCUGUACAAAGCCAAGAGCUUCUACAAGUACGUGGACUACAUAAAAUCGGUUGCGAUGGUCGUGGCGAACCUCAGCGAAACGAACGUGUCCGAACAGGAAGUCGCGACCGGGGCGAAACAGGUGGCCGCCUUCGAGGCGGAACUGUCGAAAAUUCUGGAGGUGAGCGAGAGGCUGGACUUUUAUCGGCCCAUUCUGCUCGGCAAGUUUCAGAACAUCACCGACCAACUGUCCAGGGACAAGAAUAACACGCUUGACUGGGUGAAGAUAAUAAACGGAAUGUACCCCUCGACCACCGGCUUGGUGACGCUUCAACAGUCGGUUGACAUCUCCACCCUGAGCUACUUUCCCAGGCUCAUUCAGCUGCUCUACAAUACUCCGUCGCGAACAGUAGUGAACUUCAUACACUGGCGGUUCGUGCAUCAAUUUCUGCCGCACACCAGCGGCGAACUGAGGAACUCGUACUUCGAGAUGCGGAAUUUCAUGCACGAGCCCGUGAAGAACAUGCCCAGGUGGAGGUUCUGCGGAUUCGAGCCCACUUUCGAUCACGUGAUUUCUCACAGCUUCGCCAAGAAACAUCUGUCACCGAGAACUGAGAAAUACGUGCAAAGGGUACUGAGCGACAUAAAGCAGGUGACGCUACGGACGAUCAAACGAUCGUUUCUACUGAACGAGGACGAGAAGCGGAUGGCCGAACGCAAGAUUCUAAGCAUGAGUUUCGUCCUGGGAAUCCCCGAGCCGUUGAAGAAUCUCUCGGUGGUGAACAGCUAUUACAAGAAGUUGACGAUCUCGAAGAAUUACUUCACCAACGUGCUCACCCUGCGCAAGUUUUACAAACUCAAGGAGUUCGAAGCUGUGAAGAAGAACGAGUUCAAAUCGUCCUACGACAUUAACUUUAUGAAAAUCACGACGAUCAGCAGCAUCGGCUCGGCCUACGAGUUCUUCGAAAAUCGCGUUCUGAUCAAAGCCGAGAAUCUCAUGGCUCCGCUGUUCGAUCCGGAUUUCCCAGAAUUCAAGAAAUACGGGAUAUUGGGCUUUAUCAUUGCUUACGAAAUCAUGCAUGCCUUUAACGACGCAGCGAGGUUCGAACGGACUGACGAGAGCUUUUCUGUACGUUUAUGUAUACGUAGAUUCGAUCGGAGGUACGAGGCCCCGACGGCAUCUGUACUCGGAGGAGACUAAAUUGAAGUACUGGAACAAAAUGGAGUGCUUCAUCAAUCAGUUCGACAACUAUUACAUUCCCGAUCCUUUUAACGUGGAGAAGCACGUUUACGUGGACGGCGAAAGGUCAGCAAUGGAGAACAUCGCGGACUCGACGGCCAUUCAAAUAGCCUUCCAGGCUUAUCACGAGAGGUCCAGAAAACAGGGCGUCUCUUCCAUCGAGGACGACGAGGACUUCUUCGCAUCGUUCGCCAGCCUACUCUGUCGGCCAGAAUUGGAGGAGUUUUAUCUGAGUCGAUUCAACUUGGCUCUGCGAACUUUGCCUCGAUUUCGCGUCAUUGGAUCUCUAUCGAAUACUAAUGAAUUCGCUAAAACGUUUUCCUGCUCGAGCGGCGCUCGGAUGAAUCCGGAAACGAAGUGCAACUUUUGGAAUUGAAACUACUGUCACCAUUUUUUUCUCUCCCCGACUUUGGGACGACCGAGAGUUGGAAAGUUAUUAAUCGUUCGAAAUUGGCUACAGUCGUCCUAUAUAAUAUUGUACUUGGACAAGCCACUGCAAUAAAAAACGUUUUAGGAAAUUAAAAAAA